rnacentral:rRNA from 1 species
GACAGAGGGUGCAAACGUUGCUCGGAAUUGACUGGGCGUAAAGCGCGUGUAGGCGGACCUACCAAGUCGGACGUGAAAAGCCCUGAGCUCAACGUCAGGAACUGCAUCCGAAACUGGCGGUCUAGGAGUAGGUGGAGAGGAAAGCAGAAUUCCUGGUGUAGAGGGUGAAAUUCGUAGAUAUCAGGAGGAACACCGGUGGCGAAGGCGGCUUCUGGA